AGCCCUAGAGGUAGAAUACGCCAAAAUGCAAAUUUGGAGACGCACCCUAUAGGUGCCGGGGCUU
rnacentral:tRNA from 1 species